rnacentral:rRNA from 1 species
UACGGAGGAUGCGAGCGUUAUCCGGAUUUAUUGGGUUUAAAGGGUGCGUAGGCGGACGCUUAAGUCAGCGGUAAAAUUGCUGGGCUCAACCUCGUCGAGCCGUUGAAACUGGGUGCCUUGAGUGGGCGAGAAGUACGCGGAAUGCGUGGUGUAGCGGUGAAAUGCAUAGAUAUCACGCAGAACUCCGAUUGCGAAGGCAGCGUACCGGCGCCCAACUGACGCUGAAGCACGAAGGCGUGGGUAUCGAACAGG